rnacentral:rRNA from 1 species
UACAUGGGGUGCAAACGUUGCUCGGAAUUAUUGGGCGUAAAGCGCGCGUAGGCGGUUACGCAAGUCGGAUGUGAAAGCCCUCGGCUUAACUGAGGAAGUGCACCCGAAACUGAGUAGCUAGAGUACUAAAGAGGGUCGCGGAAUUCCCGGUGUAGAGGUGAAAUUCGUAGAUAUCGGGAGGAACACCGGUGGCGAAGGCGGCGACCUGGGUAGAUACUGACGCUGAGGCGCGAAAGCGUGGGGAGCAAACAGG